rnacentral:misc_RNA from 1 species
GAAUUAUUUGAUAAGUUUCAAAGAGGAAAAUAAAAAAGAAUGAAAUAAUAAUGAGAGAGAAGAGACGGAGAAUUAAUUUAAAAAUUUAAAAAUUGCCGCUUAUUUGACAGUCGAUAAGGAAGGGAGGAGGGAAAGCGCGCGCGUGUUCCGUCGAUAAGUCAGUCAAUCAAUCAGCUGAUAGAAAUGCCGCUAAAUGUGAAGAAUGACAGAUAAAUAUACGCUCAUGCGCGUAUAUGUAUAUAUUAAUUGUCGAUUUUGUUGUUCAUUCUCUCUUUUAGUUAAUCAAAUAUUGUACUUUUAUUCGCGUAUCCUUGAUCAUCAUUUGCUAUCCCUUUUAUUAUAGUAAUUAUUAUGUUUAUACGAGAAAAAAAGAAAAAGAAAAAAGAGAAGAGAGAAAAAUCAAGUAAUUUGAUGUAUCGAAAAUUUGAACAAAAUUCAGUGAUAAAAAUACUCGUCGGUGUCACGAGAGAGAAACAGAGAGGGAGAAUAUAAUAAUGGCACGAUGUGUCUGUAUACAAAUCAAUUGAUUUAAAUAAACGUUAAAUUUGUCAUAGAUGUAUGAAGGAUAAAUUGUUGAUGGGAAAUUCCGUCUAGGCACGAUGUGUACCUUUUUUGCAUGGUUUCAUUUCAACCGAAAAUCUAAUCGUUCUCGUAUUUAAAAGUGUCACUUAUUAUUACAAUUGGUGUGCCAUAGUUAAAUGCUAAUUUUGAUUUUUUGACAAUUAUCUAAAAUAUGGAAGCCGAAGUAAUUUUGCAAAAUAUUUUUGGUAAAUACAAUGUUAUGGAAAUGCGAAAGACUUUACCGAAAACAUCCAAUACAAAUAUUUUGAGUACAACAGAUAGUAUAGAAAUUGUUAAGACCUACUUUCGCUACACAUUAAUACAAUCUGUUUGCGAAGAAAGUUUAAUAGACGACAGGAUAGGCCGCAUCGGACCGAAAGAAGUUAAGUUUGAUUUAAACAAUCGCGUUGGUUUGUUCCUAUCUUCGUCUAAUAGAAAUAGCAUCAUUGCUCAAGGAAAUUUUUGUACAAUAACAGCUAAUACUGGGAUUUAUAAGGAUAAAUGGAUGUACGAGGUACAGCUCGGUUCCAAAGGUAUAAUGCAAAUUGGCUGGGGAACUUUAAAUUGUAAAUACAAUAUAACGACCGGAGUUGGAGACACUCCCAAUUCUUAUUCAUACGAUGGCAGUCGUAUUAAAAAAUGGAACGUUAUUCCUUCUGAAUACGGAGAACUAUGGCUACCUGGAGAUAUCAUUGGAUGUACGUUAGACAUGAAUGAAGGAAUAAUAAGUUUUUAUAGAAAUGGAAGAAGUCUUGGCAAAGCAUUUGAGAAUAUAUCUAUGGGUCCUGGUAUGGCUUACUUUCCAGCCAUAAGCCUGACAUUUGGCGAAAGUCUCACAGCUAUUUUUGGAGAUAUUCCUUUUAGAUAUCCCAUAGAGGAUUAUCAACCCAUUCAAGUACCACCAGAAAUAGAAAUUGCACAAGCUUCGUUUUUAAUUCAUUGGAUUAACCAAAUCUUAGAUUACAUGAUUCAUUUAAAUGGUACCAGUGUCUUGGCUGAUAAUUCAAUGACGGUACAAACAUAUCUCAAUUGCAUUUUAGAGGAUUUGAUAAAGCAACUCAGUCCUUUGCUUACUAUUCAAUAUAUCAUCGAAGUUGUCUUCAUUCCUUUUUUAUACGAUAUUACUAACAUCAGAUCUGUUGGUGCUAAGAUUUCGCUUAAUUCUAACAAAGAUAGAAUCAAAGUAAUGACUUUCUUAGAUCUUCUAUGGACUUUCUUGGAAGACGAAGAAGUUAAAUAUUUAUUGGAAAAUGUUAUCAGCCUUCUUUAUUCACUGUUCAGACACAUUUCCUUUCAACCUGAAUGUUCGAAACAAUAUGAUAUUCUAGCAUUAUUAAUUAAUUUGUGUCUGCAUACACCGACUCGACAUUACUGUAUAAAUUAUGAGCUUUUUGAUCGUGUAAGAUUUUUCAAUUUUAUUUACAUUAAACCGAUGGAUGAUAUGGGUCUAGAAAAUAUCAUUCCUGAACCUUGGUGGGAAACCAAUCCUAUGGAUGAAGUUAUUAACUCAAGAAAGUUUAUGUACUUUAAAGCAUGCGACAACAUUAAAUUGUUAAUAAAAGAUUUAGAGAUGAUGCAAGUCUUGUUUAUAAAGAUUUUACUUACAAAUAACGAUGGUACUACCACUAAGGAAUCAUCGAGGAGUAUUUUUCUUAAAAAAUUUCAAAGCUUUGUUUACGAAAAUUUUCUUCGCACAAAACCGCAAUUACAUCAUAUUCCUUUGGCACUUAGUCUCUGUAGCUUUCAUCGACUUUUGACUGUGUUCAGAGAUUUAUGGAAUGAAGAAAUUGGAAUCGAUAAUAUUCAUAUUCCUUGCUCAUACUUCUACGACGAAACGAUCAAUUACUUUCAUAUCGAUAGAUUAGGUGGAGUAUUAAGCUAUUUGAAAAAAACCCAUAAACUGGAAUUGAUGAACAUUUUGGGUCCAAAACACAAAGUGUUUAAUUCUAUCGAACAAUCACAAAAUCGAUCUCGUUCCGCAAGAAGAGGGAAUUUUCGAACAUCUAUAUCCCUGUUUGGUCACAGAAACGUCGAAAAUGACAUGCAAAUGGAAUAUACAGAAAAUGAAAACCAAUUGCUACCGACUUUAGAAUCAGUAAACAAGCCCAAUUCCUUAUUAAUAUUAUUGGAUAGCCUUAUAUUAUUUUAUCAUGCGAUAGUAAAGAAACAAGUGUCCAAACUCAGCACUCUUCAAGAAAAUAUAAUUCAAUUUUCGACUGCUCUUUCAGAGAGUAAAAAACGAUUGAUAUUUAUUACGAAUUACCGUAGUAAUUUCUUUGAAAUAAUUCAACAAGAAUUAUUAAAUACUUUGAGAGUCUACAAUAAAAAAUUAUACGAAUUAUCAAGACAGAUGGCUUGGGUUCGUGCAACAGUAUUUUCAGAAGAAAAGGUAGCACAAAUUGGUUGGUUUUUAAAUGUAGUAACGACGACAUUGUGGUUAGCAGGCAAGGAAGGAAAUAUGUUUUGUUUUGUACCUGAAUUUUAUCUCGAUGCUCUUUCUGAUUUAUGCAAAGCUGUACGCACUGAAAUUCAUCCUAUUACGCCUCUUCAAGUGAUACCGAAUUAUCCGCAAAUCCUGUUACAAAUUAGCGAGUUUCUUUGUCGCCAUUUUAUGAAUCCACUGAUUAUUAAUGUUAAUUCGAAAGAGACACUAUUGCUAAUAUUUGCUGGAUUCGUAUCCCAUCCGCUUACGCUUAACACGUUAGAGAAUGUAACCUUGGAUAAUAGACUGAGAGUUAUUCGAAAUCUGUUAAAACCCUCAGAAAAUAAAUGUUGGGCUCAUUCCAGUUGGAUUCUCAUGAGAUUUUGGCAGGGCCAUGGAUUCGCAUUUCGUUACGAACAAAUUCCGCAUUUAAAUAAAAAAUCUGGACUAAAAUCAAUCCGUCUGCGAAAUCAGCAUCAUCCAAAACCUUGUCCUUCUAUAGUAUUUCAACUGCACAUAAGAGAUAGGCUCUUAGGAAAGUCGAAAAACACUGAACUAUUCUUAAAUUGUAUUUUGAAUCAAAUAAACUGGGCUUUCUCUGAAUUUAUUGUUAUUGUGUCAAAUAUUGAACAGGAUGAGUUCGAAAAACAAUACCUUUCAAGAGGUUUUGUCAUGGAGUAUUCCAGAUUUAGCAUCAUUAGAUUAUUUUCCACUAUUAACAGCAGUCAUCGGAAUAUUACUGAUAAUACUUAAAAAAGACAUGUCAUCUUAUAGACAAAAUCCUAAGAUGACAGUAUCUAGAGUUACGCGUUUGUUAUUAAUAGAACCCAGUUUUCAAAUGAGUUCCUUAUACUUCGUAUUAGGAGAAGUUAACUCACAAUCUCUAGAGAAAAAAAAUAAUUGCACAGAACGAUUCUCACUUUUAAAUUAUUUAGAUUAUGAAAACCUUAACGAAGACUAUAUAAAGGAUGAAGAAAUCAGCAAAGUCAGAGGAAUGUUGAAUUAUUUAGAUUAUUGUUAUAGUCAUUUACCAGAUUUAAAAAAUUUAACGGACGA